rnacentral:rRNA from 1 species
UACGUAGGGUGCGAGCGUUAAUCGGAAUUACUGGGCGUAAAGCGUGCGCAGGCGGUUGUGUAAGACAGGUGUGAAAUCCCCGGGCUUAACCUGGGAACUGCGCUUGUGACUGCACGGCUAGAGUACGGCAGAGGGGGGUGGAAUUCCACGUGUAGCAGUGAAAUGCGUAGAUAUGUGGAGGAACACCGAUGGCGAAGGCAGCCCCCUGGGCCGAUACUGACGCUCAUGCACGAAAGCUAGGGGAGCGAACGGG